GGGUGGAGCCCCGCGGUGACCCAGGCCACCGCCCCCGCGAACCGCGCACCUGCGACGUUUGCUCCGCCCGCCGCUCUCGGCGCAAACUUUCGGAAAGCGAAGGCCUUUCGGGGGCAGGAAGGCCGGGGAUGUUGACGGGUUGGCGGCAUGAAGGACCCUGGCCCUGGGGGAAGGGGAAUCUCGUCCAGGCCGGACAAGGUGCUGAGCAGAAGACAAGAAAGAAACUAUUUCUGAGUUGUGAUGAAAAGCCAGGCCUGGAGUGGGGAAAACCGAAUUUUUCCAUCAUGUCACUGUCAUAAAAGACAAAGCCAACUAUUCCAGAUUAAAGGAGACUACAGAGAAACGGCAGUGGAAUGCUUCGCUUCACUUCUAGACGGGAUCCUGGACUAGAGGGAAAAUGCUAUGCAAAGGACAUUAUCGAGGUAAUUGACAAAAUGGUGGUAAAUGAGAUACUAUGUUGCAUUCAUGUUAAAUUUAGUGAAGUGGAUAAUGGUUCUUACAUACACUGUAACUGUUUAGGCAUAAAGGAGUGUGAUGUGUGCAACUUAUUCUCCAGUAGUUCAGAAUAAGUUACCUGUAACACUUCAUAUAGAGAAAGAAUUAACUUUCUUAAUUUUAACAGGUGAAUUCAGGAUAUAGGGCAGACAAAUGUCCACUAUACUAUUCACUUUUCCUUAACUUUGAAAUUAUUUCCAAAUAAAAAGUUAAACCAAAAAAAUCCAGGCUCCUUACCAUGGCCCACGAGGUACCUGCCACCACCCCCAGCCAGCCUGUGCCAUCUCAUCCUGACCCGUCGUCAUGGGCAGCUCCAUUGAUAUGGCUGCAUUCUGGGUUCCCAAACAUACCAAGUUCUUGCCCACCUCUGAGCCUUCAUGCACACACCUACUAUUGCCUCUGUAUGGAUUUUCUUCCCCCAACUCAAGUACUCAGGGAUACAGUAAUUAUCAUUUCUCAAAAUGGCCUUCGACCCCCCCACUCCAACCUAAUACAGACCGAGUACAUUCUUUCAUAGCUCCCUGAACUUUUCCUUCAUGGUACUUAUCACAGUUUGUAAGAAUGCGUAUUUGGGGAGGAUUCCUAAUGCCCAUCUUCUCUAGUAGCCUGAAAGCUCCUAAAAGCCAAGGAUCUCAUCCCUUUCAGCUACUGGACCUAGCACACUGCUGGGCACUUAGGACACAGCAGAUUAAAUGAUGUCUUCUACCCUCCAACUUCACCCCCAAAUUGUUGGCAGCUGUCAGAGAACACACCCCACAGUCCACGUCUAGCUGUAGGAACGGAUUCAUGAGGUUGCGUCUACGUGGGCUUCUUGGAUUCCCUAUCGCUAACCCCAGUACUUGAAACUAAGAGGCCAACUAAGAAGGGAAACUCUGGGGGAGACUGAUGCCAAGGGAGGGAUGAUGAAUUCAGCUGAGAGCCUGGAAGCCCCAGGGGGAUGUCAAGGGGGCAGUUGGCUGGACCAGGCUGGUGCUCAGAGGGGCAGUUUGGAUUGGAGAGGCGGCCGACAGCCCAGGCUGUGGGCAACAGGAGCGUCUCUCACGGACCUGUCUGUGCAAACGAGAGAGAAAAGAGUCCAAGGAAUGGGGCCCAGAGGAGCCCGACUUAAGGGCUAUGCAGAGAAAAGCGUCUCUGGUGGCAAAUAAACAGUGUCUGGGAAAGUGGGAGUGUUAUCAGGGGAGAGAGAGAGAGAGAGAGAGAGAGAGAUGUCGCAGAAGACAAGAGAGGAAGCCGGUUAGGCGCUGAACUCCACACAUUCGUUUUUCCUUUCCCCUUGUUCGAGCUCAGCAUCUGGCAUCUCACGAGUUGAGGUGGCCUGGACUAGGGGCUUGGACUCUCGUCUCAAGACAAGAAGAAUCUUGACUCAACCUCAGAAUGGCUGUAUGACCUUGGGCCAUGGACUUAACUUUCCCAGACUCCAAGCCCCUGUCUUCAGAAUGGGAGUAAGGCUACUAUUCACUUUCCCAGGCUGCCGUCAGGAUUGCAGAAACUCAUCUCUGGAAAACCCUUUGAUCCAUGUUUGAUCUACAGUCUAGGGAUGAAUAAGCAUCACAGGUCACGCACAGCAGGGGCAGGAUGCGCUGCUUCCGGCUAACAGAAUUGUUUCUGAGGUUUGGCCAAUGAGGGGCUUCAGACAACAGUCAAAGAGCCCCCUCGCCACCUUCUAGGCCAUGGCCCCUUCCCCUGAUCCAAUCCCUAUUAAACAGACCUACCGUGACAGGCUCCAUUUAACACAGUCCUUUCUCCAAAGCCUCUUUCUGAAAAUCAUCUGUGCCCCCCACCCCCCAAAUGUGCCCCAAGUCUGCCCACUUGGUUGCAACUAAACCCUGUUUAUCGGGUAACCAUGGGGACACCUCUUCCUCAACACAACUACCUUCCGUGGAUCUCAGGAAGUAUCCCCAGGCCUCUGACUUGGAGAUCGCUCUAGUGUGAGCCAGUAGCUUCUGACCAUCCCCUCUCUGAGGAAAGAGAAGAGUGUGGACACCUCUUCACAGCUUAGAAAGCGACUCCACACCGUGACCUCCCUUUCAUCCUCACAACGGCCCCGUGAGGUAGAUACAGCAGGUAAUAGCUACUCUGGUCCACGUUGAUCAAGCAUUUACACUGUUACCAUGCUCUGUGUGAAGAAUUUUCAUAGGUGAUCUCACUUAAACUCACCCAGAUCCUAUGAAGUGGGCUCAGCUUUUCCAUUUUACAGAGGAGCAAAAUGGGGUCACAGUGGCGAGAAGUUGCCCCUAAUCAGAGAGGUAGUAAGUAACGGAUUCAAACCUCAGACCACACUUUCAACCCUUCUACAACAUCGCCUCACGAAACAAGUAUAUUAUUUCCCGGCACUAGCUUAUCCAUUAAAUGGGAGCUCGGAGAGGUAAAGUGACUUGCCCAAAGUCUCACACCCAGGAACUGGCGGAGCUGAGAUCCACAACUGGAUCUUCUGGCUCUGAGGCCCCUGAAACCAGGAAGCAUCAGUGACAGGGUCUGAUGAGGUACUAGGUAAUUAUUUCUGUAGCAGCCUUGCCUUGGCAAUCCUGUUCAGCCCAGAAUAGUAUUUCUAAACCGGAAGUCCUUCCUGACAUUUUUCUGGGAAAUUUAUGUUUUCCUGAAUCCCAAGACCCAUCAGUCAAGAGACUGGGAAAAUAGGAAAAGUAUUAUAAUUCUCUUGUGAGAAUUCAUGCUUAACAAUAAACAUAGAGGCAUUCCUGGUAGGAAGGAAUCACUGACAUCAAGUGGAAAUGCAGAGAGAUGGAGUCCAAGACUAAGGUAGAUAUGUUGGGAACUUGGGUCAGAAGGAGAGAAGUGGGGGUGCCUGUCUGGCUCUGUCAGAGGAGUGUGUGACUCUUGAGCUCAGCUUUGUGAGUUCGAG